UAAUUCUCCACUUCACACAAAGCACAAGUUGCUGAGUUCAGAUAUGAAGACAAACAGAAGUGGAAUACAAGUGAAGGCAGGUCUAAGAACUACUUCCAGGACUCUGAACUCUAAGCAGUCCCUUCUGCAGUUCAGCAAUUUUAUCUUCUCUUGAGGCUGCAUAAUUCUUUGCUGUCUUUAUGAGAGAAUCGUGACGCUUCUCCAAUCCAGCCUUCAGGUUUUGGUAUAUCUCUUUAGCUUUCAUUUCUUCUUCUUCAGCAUUCUCAUUCAGUUGCUGGAUCUUGAACCUCAUCUGCUGGAUUUCCUUCUGAAUCGCUGUCACUUUAUCAUAAACAACACCCCUCUUUUCCUGAACUCUGUUAAAAUAUUCAAAUACAGUGUGCUUAUAUUGCUCAACAUCUUCACGCUUCUUUUUUAUCCUUAUUUCAGCUGUAGACAGCCUCUCAUGUUUCGCAGUGACCAGUCUCUUCAGGGACAUCUCAUCCGUCUUCCCUUUUUUCAGCUCUAUUUGAGCACUCUCCAGCUGGUCUUCCAGAUUUCUGACCUCUGAUAAUACACUGGCCAGUCUUUCCACGUUUGCUGCCUGUCUUUCCAUCUUCUUCUGAUAUAACUGCACCUCCAAUUGGCAUGAUGGCAGAACUUCAACCAGGUCUCGAUAACCUUCAUAUUUCUCAAUAACCUCUUGCUUGGAUUUCUUGAGUUUCUUAACAGUCUCUUUCAUUAGUUCCUUAUAAUUCUUCAAUUCCUCUGGACUCUCCACAAUCUUUGAUUUCAGCUGCUCUUGUUCUUCUUUCAAAGUAGCCAUUGUCACUUUAAGUUCAUUCAGUUUUCGGGUCCUCUCUGUAAUGUCUGAUUUCUUUUGUGAAAUCACUUCUUGCAAUGCUGCUGUUUUCCGACGAUAGUCAUGGCUUAGAAGUUGCUCCAACUCUUGAAUAUCAUCUGACAGUUGCUUGAACUCUGCUUGCUGUUCAACUGGAACAGUGUUUAGUUUCUCCAGCUUCAUUUCUAACUCCUGAUUUGCUGUCUCCAGCUGUUGGUGUUUCUCCAUAGCAGAUUU
rnacentral:lncRNA from 1 species